CCUACGGGCGGCAGCAGUGGGGAAUAUUGGACAAUGGGGGGAACCCUGAUCCAGCCAUGCCGCGUGUGUGAAGAAGGCCCUCGGGUUGUAAAGCACUUUCAGUGAAGAAGAACGCCUGGUGGUUAAUACCCAUCAGGAAAGACAUCACUCACAGAAGAAGCACCGGCUAACUCCGUGCCAGCAGCCGCGGUAAUACGGAGGGUGCGAGCGUUAAUCGGAAUUACUGGGCGUAAAGCGCGCGUAGGUGGCUUGAUAAGCCGGUUGUGAAAGCCCCGGGCUCAACCUGGGAACGGCAUCCGGAACUGUCAAGCUAGAGUGCAGGAGAGGAAGGUAGAAUUCCCGGUGUAGCGGUGAAAUGCGUAGAGAUCGGGAGGAAUACCAGUGGCGAAGGCGGCCUUCUGGACUGACACUGACACUGAGGUGCGAAAGCGUGGGUAGCAAACAGGAUUAGAUACCCCAGUAGUC
rnacentral:rRNA from 1 species